CAGUAGCCACGGUAACACGGAGGGUGCAAGCGUUAAUCGGAAUUACUGGGCGUAAAGCGUGCGUAGGCGGUUCGUUAAGUCUGUUGUGAAAGCCCCGGGCUCAACCUGGGAAUGGCAAUGGAUACUGGCGAGCUAGAGUGUGUCAGAGGAUGGUGGAAUUCCCGGUGUAGCGGUGAAAUGCGUAGAGAUCGGGAGGAACAUCAGUGGCGAAGGCGGCCAUCUGGGACAACACUGACGCUGAGGCACGAAAGCGUGGGGAGCAAACAGGAUUAGAUACCCCCGUAGUCCCUGUCUCUUAUAC
rnacentral:rRNA from 1 species